rnacentral:sRNA from 1 species
GCUGGGUAUGGUGGCGCGUGUCUUGUAAUCACAGCUACUUAGGAGGCUGAGGCAGGAGGAUCCCAAGUUCAAGGCCAGCCUGGGCAAGUUAAGUUAGUGAGAUCCUGUCUCAA